AGAAAAGUAAGCUAAUAUAAGCUAAUGGGUUCAUACCCCGUAAAUAGAGUAAACGCUCUCUUCUCUA
rnacentral:tRNA from 1 species